AAUGAACGCUGGCGGCAUGCCUAACACAUGCAAGUCGAACGAAGGCUUCGGCCUUAGUGGCGCACGGGUGCGUAACGCGUGGGAAUCUGCCCUUGGGUUCGGAAUAACAGUUAGAAAUGACUGCUAAUACCGGAUGAUGACGUAAGUCCAAAGAUUUAUCGCCCAAGGAUGAGCCCGCGUAGGAUUAGCUAGUUGGCGGGGUAAAAGCCCACCAAGGCGACGAUCCUUAGCUGGUCUGAGAGGAUGAUCAGCCACACUGGGACUGAGACACGGCCCAGACUCCUACGGGAGGCAGCAGUGGGGAAUAGUGGACAAUGGGCGAAAGCCUGAUCCAGCAAUGCCGCGUGAGUGAUGGAGGCCUUAGGGUUGUAAAGCUCUUUUACCCGGGAUGAUAAUGACAGUACCGGGAGAAUAAGCUCCGGCUAACUUCGUGCCAGCCGCCGCGGUAAGAC
rnacentral:rRNA from 1 species